UGGGGAAUUUUGGACAAUGGGCGAAAGCCUGAUCCAGCAAUGCCGCGUGUGUGAAGAAGGCCUUCGGGUUGUAAAGCACUUUUGUCCGGAAAGAAAUGGCUCUGGUUAAUACCUGGGGUCGAUGACGGUACCGGAAGAAUAAGGACCGGCUAACUACGUGCCAGCAGCCGCGGUAAUACGUAGGGUCCAAGCGUUAAUCGGAAUUACUGGGCGUAAAGCGUGCGCAGGCGGUUGUGCAAGACCGAUGUGGAAUCCCCGAGCUUACUUGGGAUUGCAUUGGUGACUGCACGGCUAGAGUGUGUCAGAGGGGGGUAGAAUUCCACGUGUAGCAGUGAAAUGCGUAGAGAUGUGGAGGAAUACCGAUGGGCGAAGGCAGCCCCCUGGGAUAACACUGACGCUCAUGCACGAAAGCGUGGGGAGCAAACAGGAUUAGAUACCCUGGUAGUCCACGCCCCUAAACGAUGUCAACUAGUUGUUGGGGGAUUCAUUUUCCUUAGUAACGUAGCUAACGCGUGAAGUUGACCG
rnacentral:rRNA from 1 species